GUGUGAAGUCAGAGAAGGCUUCUUAGGAGAAGUCAUGCUUGACCCUUCCCUGACAAAUAGGAGUUCCCCAGCGCACAGUAAUUACCACAGCUAACACUUAAACACCAUUUACCACUGCUAGGCACUGUUCUAAGUAUUGUGCACAUAUUGACUAAUUUUAUCUUUAUAAUUUUGGUAGGAGGUACAGUUCCCAUUGUACAAAUGAGAAAACCGAGAUUAGGAUAAGUUCAAAGUCACACAAUUAUGGAAUGGCAGAGCCAGCAUUCAAAACUGGAUUUUUGUUCUAGAGUCAGUGCUGUUAACCAUUACACUGGACCGCCUCUGAACAACAUGUGGUAAGGGCAUUCCAGGCAGAGAAAAUAGCCCAGAUGAAGCCACGACAUGUGGUAUGGGGUGCUGACCUGUGUCUACCUGAAGUGGUUACUUGUACACAAAUCCACACCUGCCAGAUCUGCGCCAACUCAGAACCGAGGCAGGAGAGAGAAAAUACUGACCCACUUACAGCGUUGGUGCCACCCGACUCCUCAGCCGCCCGGAAGCCGAUCGUCUGCCUUUCCCCACCGCGUCAGCGCCGUGUCCCGAGCUGAAGGCCGGCGAGGAUGGCGCAGGCAGAGCUUGGUUUCAUGGACAAGCAGUUCAGAGUCACGUUUGAGGCAAUUUUUCCAGUUAGGAUAGCUGACUCAAAUUUCAGUUUUUCUUUGCUUCUCGGUUUUGAGGUACCAGAUGUGCUAAGCAUAAUAUGACAUAUUGUUAUCUUUAUUUAUUAGUCUCUGAGAAUUAAUUAUCUUUAGCUGAUACCAAGCUCACCUCUCCCCCAGUCACUGCGUGAUUGCUGUUUCAACAGAGAAGUCAAAGAAAAAGAUCAAGGUUUAGGGGCCCUCUCAAGCUUUUGCUCUCAUUUGACAUCCAGGAUUUCAUCUAUUUUUCACGCCAGUCAAUAACAAUUUGCCUGAAAUUCCAUUUUAAUGCUGUGAAGAUGACUGUGUCUCUCUCUGAAAUGCCGUUAGGUCCACCAGGUCAUUGACACAACAGAAAAACCAUAUUUCAGUCCUUUAUUAGUUGUAACUGAC
rnacentral:lncRNA from 1 species